AUGCUCACAAGCACCCCAGUGUUAGGGACAGAGAGAAAAUGCCCACCUUGGGUCUGCAGGAGACCAGAAGACCGUCAGCGUGAAACGUCUGGGCACAUUGCAAAUUUGCAGCUUCCUGUAGGGUCGCCUUGGCCCAGAAACCGCAGGAAUCUGCCCUCGCACUGCGGGGGAGAGCAAGUUUCCAGGCUCCAAGCACUUAUCACACGUCGUAUUGUGUGUCUGUCUCUGGGUGGCUUCCCUUGCGAGGUCCCACAGCGUCACAAGGCGGGGGACUCAGUUGGGGCCCAAUCCAUGCUUAAACAUGGGAUGCCAGACUCUAUCCAAAACCUCGCAGUGCCUUCCAAGUUCCAGAAUUGCCUGGCUGCUUCUACCGGCUUCCAGUCUUUCAUUCUUUCAAGUGCCAGCAAUCCAGACCAAAUCCUUCCCUGUGGCCCCAGCUCCCCCCGACCCUGCAACCCGCCUGCCCCCCUCAUGGCGCCCUUGCCUGCUUCCUCCUCUCUAUGCUGUACAGGGUCCAAGCUGAUGGGCAGCGGGAUGCUGCAGUGGCAGGGACACGGGUCUUAGGAGGAGAGGGUCCCAAGCCCUAAGUCAGCCCUGCUCAGUUCUGAAUCUGUGUUCUGAAUCCGUGUACAUCCUCUCAUUUAAUCCUUCCAAUGGCCCCAUGAGAUAGAGGCACAAGUACUAUUUCCACCUUAUGGAUGAGGAGACAAAUGCUCAGAAAGGCUAUGCUACUGCCCAAGACCACACAGCUUCUAAGUGACAGAGCUGGAAUUCAAACCCAGGUUGUCUGGCUUCAGAGCCUACACUUCAGACUGCAGUAAGUUGUCUCUGGCUUUCACUGUCUGGAUGGAAAUCCCAGCCCUGUCGUUUACUCUCUGCACGGCCCUGGGCAAGUGGUUGGGACUUCUCAGCCAUACUUCCUUAGUCCACAACCAUGCCCAUCACCCCUUGUUGCCUCGGGAAGAUUGAAACACUCCUGAAUGCAGAAGGGCUGAGAACUCAGCAUGGGGAGCCAUUUCUGCCCCCUACCUCUGGAGUCCCCCAGAAGGGUUUCCGCCUCCAAGAAGUGUAUUUUUUGGAGAGAGUUUUGAGGUUGUGGCCCCUCUCUGACCACCCUGUUUAUUUGGCAGGUGAGGACCCACAGCCCAGGGAAUUAUACAUUGUCCAAGGUCGCAUGCAGAGCUGGAAGGGGA
rnacentral:lncRNA from 1 species